CGCGGUCCCAGAUUUAUUGAGAGAAAAGCAAAUAAGCCGUUUGAUCAGAAGCGGGAACUGCAAGUCUGUCAGGAUACCAUCUCCGUGGCGUAUGCUGGCAAUGCCUGGUUGCUGUAAUUGAGCCUCAUCAGUUUUAGAAGCAACAGAUGUGAUGCAUUAUUACUAAUGUAGAGCAUGUGCAGACCUGGAUAACGUUAUGGAACACUAGGACGGUCCUGGUUUCGCCUCUUUCUGAACCAGCGCUCCACUUGUCUACUGGACCAGCUGCAUUUUUUGCACAGGCCCUUAAUAUCUGCCUGAUAAGAGAUGGAAGAGAAGAGAAGGGUAUCUGACUACAAGAAAGACUAAAGCAUAGGGCACGGUGACAUAGAGGUGAGAUGCUCUGGCGUAGACGAGCCCUUCCACGUCUUUGAGAUCGGCCCACGUGAGGUUCCCAGGCAGCCACAGCCGGUCCCACCACAGCCACUCACUGAUCGUCCCAAUCAUGAUUGCAACCUGCUCCAUUACAGAUUGAGUCCUACUACAAUCUACCUGAGUGUUCCCAGAGUUCCUGUCAGAAACAUGCUCUUCCGCCUCCUCGGAUUCGUCUGAGCUCCCAUAAUCAACCAGUCGUGGGACAUCGUUACCUGUUGACGAUUUAGUGCAGG